rnacentral:lncRNA from 1 species
CUUCAUUUGAAGUUUCAGUUCAAACGCCAACUUUAAGAUGACAUCCUGAAAGAAUAGAAUAUCCUUCUCCAGGGCUCUAUCCACUCUAAAGCAAUGAAAAUUAGAUGAUUCUGUUUCUCCAACCAGUCGUGUACAUGGGGUCAAGAGCUGAAGAUGGAAGUUGGUUGACCCCCACUUACCAUCCCUCCUAAUAAUCUGCUUAGAGAAUUUGGGCUUGCUGUUCCUAUGACACUGAGCCCAGUGUUGCUAGAGGUCCUGAUUCCCAGACCAAGAACCCUUCCACCAGAGGACUCAGCAAGAGUCCCCUUACAUUUUUCGCUAUCAUUGUCACCUGUUCAUUUAGAGUUCCUAUGCUAAAAGUCUAGCAAGAAAGGAAUUGAGGAGAUAGGACUGUUAUAAAUGCAGGCAGCCAGCUGUUCCAGAGAACCUCUCUUGUCACCAGAGCCCUAUCUUGGAAACAGACAGGUGAAUGCAUCAGCUGUGGCUGGAAAAGGGCAUGGUGACCAGAGGGCCAUUCCCUUUAGAGAUGAUCAUUACACCAGAUGUUGCUCCGAAGAGAUUCCGCCAGGGAACAGUCUACAAGAAAAUCUCAGAAUCUCAGAAUAUGCUUCCGGGGAAACCCAACUUAAGAUCAAUUCUUGUUUUAAAAGACAGAGAGGGACUGGCCUUUUCCUUGGCUUCCUGAGUUAUGGCAUGCUUUCUCUUGCCCCAGAACCUUUGCAUAUGCUGAUUCCUUUGCACCGAAGUGUCUUCUGUCACGUGCUUCAAACUUGACACCAGGGAAGUCCUUGAUCGUCCCUUGUCUGGAUCAGAUGACCGUUACAUGUGCUCGUAGGACCACGCACUCCUCCUUCCUGAGACUUAUUAGUUUGAAUCCUAUAUUUGUAUCAUCAUUUGAUUAAAGUUUCUUUUGCUCAUGAUGAUAGCCAGCACCUAGCACAAUGUCAAACUCAUGGCUGACAAUAAAUAUCUAUUAAAUUAGGACUCUAAUUCCACCAUAAACAAGAUUCA